rnacentral:rRNA from 1 species
UACGGGGGGGUGCGAGCGUUGUCCGGAAUCACUGGGCGUAAAGGGCGCGUAGGUGGUCUUAUAAGGGUGUGGUGAAAGCCCUCGGCUCAACCAAGGAAGUGCUUUCGAAACUGCUGAGCUUGAGUACUUAAGAGGAUCGCGGAAUUCCCCGGUGUAGAGGUGAAAUUCGUAGAUAUCGGGAGAACACCAGUGGCGAAGGCGGCGAUCUGGGAAGAUACUGACGCUGAGGUGCGAAAGCGUGGGGAGCAAACAGG